UCCCCGGUUUAAGCUCCAUUAACAUUUCUUCAUUCCUCUCCUGUUAGGUCUGCCUGUUCAGAUGUCAUCUCUUUUUAGAUCUCCCAAACACCAUAGCUCCACGGUGACACGCAAGUAUUUUGAUUCAGAUGACCUCUCUCAUACAAAUUCCACCACAGAUUAGCUCCAAGAUAGUGGGUGCCUGUUCCCUCAAACACCAACAUGGCCAGGACUCUGAUGGCUUUUGACAAUUUGCUGGAGGUGACGUGGGAACCCAGCUCUUCACACGUGAUGAGGGCCGGGUCCUGGACUGACUGGGGCCCUGGAGCCGAUGUCAUUACUGAAGGCGUGUGAGGUUCUCCCCACCCAGGAACACGACCUGCCACGCCCUUCACUCCCUCACCUGUCCCUACCUUCAUCCUUGCCACGCGGGCGGACACUCCUGCUGCCUGGAAGGGCUGCUCUGCCCCCAGCACUGUCCCUUUUCUCCCAGUCUUCCCAGAUAUUUCACCGUGCUAACUCCUCUAGACAAACCCACAUCAGUUCUUCUAGUGCCACCAAAAAAAAAUCAAACCCUGUUUAAUUGAGGUUGUGUAACAUUUGCAGAACAUUUUUAUGGAGUGUUGUUUAUGUUACAAAGUCAGUUCCUCCCCCAGCUUCCCACGGGUCCCCUUGCUCCAUUCCCUCCUUUCCUUCCGAGGAGGUUAAGACGUGCGUUUUACUGUCAGCGCUCCUCGGGGCUUUACCUUGUCGCCCUCUGUGCUGCUACACGUGCGCACAUUUCAAUAGGCUUCAUGUACCAUGUUACGUAGAGCCCUUCUCUUCCCAUCCCACUGAGGUCUACUUUAACUGAGAGUGGAUGUUAAAUUUUGUCCAAAGACUCAUUAAUAAUCUGUAGAGACAACCACACAGCUUUUUUCUUUUGACUUAUCAACAUGGAGAAUUAAAUAUUAGAUCUUUGGGUGUUAAGUAAACCAACCUUUCUGACUUGGAUAAAACACAAUUGUCCAUGGUGUAGUCCUCUUUUAAUAUACAAUAUUCUUCUUUUAGAUACUGACUUCUAUUUACUAAUAACUUUUCUGGAUUUCAUAUUAUUCUAAACACCAAUUUGUACUUUUCUUUCUUUAGUCAGCUUGAUACCCAUGUUAUUCUUUGUAAAGAAAUGUCAAACUUAUUUUGC